GGAGGCGUGGCUGAGUGGUCGAAAGCACCGCAUUCGAAACGCGGCAGACCUUUACCGGUCUCAGGGGUUCAAAUCCUCUCGCCUCCG
rfam:Parcubacteria (Magasanikbacteria) bacterium GW2011_GWC2_37_14 TS42_C0005, whole genome shotgun sequence.